AGGAGCAGCAGUGCAGGGAAGCCUUUUAUGGUCUUCAGGGUCUACAGCUGCACUGCAUAAUUGCUCCACGGGUGCUUCUUGCAAGGGCUCACAAAGACGCUCCUGGUUCUGUGGGCAUUUGCAGAGUUAUUCAGGCCCUGAUCCUGACACCAUGUUUCUUCUCACCAGUGAGACCAGUCUCUAAGAAUAGAAUUCUGUUUGCGACACUAGAAGGAAUGCAGUGGGGGGUGGGGGCAAACUAUGCCGAUUUUACCUCCUCAUCCUGCAGUCCCUAGCAUACCUCCAGUGCUCUUCUGGAGAAUCUCCCAACAGUCCAGAGCAGAUUUUCAAAGAACAUAAGGAAUUGCAGCAGCUGUGGAAAUACAUUCCUCCCCCAUUCUGCAGAAGAAACCCUUCUAUCCAUGGAAAGUAGAUUCUGGAUCAAGCUCAGAAUGUCUAUGUAAUCUUCACAGGCUUUAACAACCUUAGAAUAGAAACAGUUUUACGAAAAUUCAGAAGUGUCAAAGACUAUAGAAACAUGGGUGCAGUACUCUCUCUUGAAAAGUCUGAUUUCAGUUGUUCCCCAAUGUAUUUGGCAGUUUUAUAAUAGUACAGUUCGUUCCCGGGUUAUGAACAACCCAUGUUUACAAACGUACAGACUGUCAUAAAUCCAAUAUGAACAUCUCUACUGAAAAGCCAUGAAUAUCUCUAGGGAACUACAUAAAACAUUUGGCAAGUGUCAUCAGUGGCUGCAUAGUUCCCUAAAGAUAGUCACAGCUUUUCUUUAAAGGUAGUUACAGUUUUUUUGCUAGAGAUAGCUGUGACUAUCUCUAGUGAAUCUCUGUCUCCAAAGAACCAUGCAAUAUCCCUAGGUAACUAUGCGAUGCAUUUGGCAACGUAUCAUCUGUGGCAGCCUAGUUCCCUAGAGAUACAGUAUUCACAGCUUUUUGUUCUGGGCAUCAGCUCAAGCAUACCCAAGUCAGUGUAUUUUGGGGCAUGUGUAGGGUGCAUAGUACUCCUUUGGUCUUUCUUUAGCAUUUGGGCUUUCUUUAGCAUUUCUUUAGCAGAUUCUCAGUUGCUACAAUUCCAUUUAUGGUGAGAGAAAGGAAAUGGUGAUACAAAGAACCCUCAAGGCCUACUUAAAGAAAGUGAGUCCAGUGCUAACUCCCCCGCUCCAGCAGCACAAUAAAACUCUGACUCUACCACCAGGUCUGUCGUCAUCAGUUAAUGUUAGGUUUAAUAUUACCUCAAGAAUGUUGUAAAGUGCUUGAAGAAUUGUUUUUUUAACACUAUAUACAUACACAUAUACAUACAGAUUCUUUCUCUCUCUCCAUUACCUGUAGCUACUUUAUUAUUACUGUAUUACCAUUAUUACAAUGUUGUACUGUGUUUAAGAUGGUUUAGUGAAUAUGGAAGUGAUUUUGUUCAGUGUUACAAGGGUAGAUGG